UUUUUUUAAUAUGAUCAGUAUAUGAGGUGAUACAUCAUAUGUUAUUAUAUAAAUUAUGAAAUAUGUCUGCUAAAAAGUUAACAAUUUACAAAAUAAAAUUUCUCACCACUCCUAUUAAAAUACAUUGUAUAUCACUUGUAUUCCCAUCACAAUUAAAAUUUUUUCUAUGUUUUGAUAGAGAGAGAGAUGGGGCAAAGGCAGAACUCCUAGUACUACCGACACUCAGCGUGCGUGCCAUGCACGACUGAAUCUAGCCGCGUUUGCCGAAGCCAUUCGAUUCAAAGCAGGUCAAUUUCUUUUGUAUCACCGUCACCGACAUUUCUAUAACCCAAUUUAAUAUAGAAAAAAAACUUUAUUUAUGGAUGAUAAUCACUUCUCCUUUCUGGCAUUCUGUAUCUGCAUAUUCUUUUAUUUCUCUUUUACCUGAAUUUUGAUGCAUAAUAACCAAAAGUGUCCCACUUUUUCAGCUGUUUAUUUAGCCUCCCACAACGGGCACUACUGGUUAUAUCUUAUUUAUCUAUAUUAGUAUAUGCCCGUUAAAUUUUUUAUUUUUGUUUUUAAAAUUGAAAGAGGGGGGAAGACAGUGAGAGGAAUUAGAAAAACAUUAUGCUUUAAAAACUUUAGUCAAGAAGUUGGGAUUGCAGCAAUCGCAACUCUUGUUUUGCUAAUAAAGCUAUGUUCAAAAGCGCAGAACCCGCACCUUUCUGUUCAACAGCGCAGAAACCGCACUCUUGUUUUGUAGGACCGUGCGUCCGUUUUCUUCUUGAUGCAGUCAGACUACUACGUACCCAGCUCGGCAGCGGUCUGGUCUCAGACAAUGCCUAAAGGAACCAAUAGCUAGCCCUCACACAACUCAAAGGCUUCCGGAGAGAUCCUGUAAGGCAUGGUUCAACUAAUGAUAAGAAGGAAAAAGAUAAGGUGGAGAGAUGAGUGAGAAAGUUGGAAGGGUUCAUGUUGUUGCUCUAGUGGGCGUCAUUCCACAUUAAGUUUUGUAAGCAUGAUUCUAGUAUUAGUAUAUCAGAUAGCAAAGUGGUAUUUACUUUCUUAGAGCGACUAUGUUAUUUAGUUAUUAUAAUAAACUCAAAGAGUUUACAAGAGA